AUUUGGAAGGAAACUGACAACAGGACAAUGAAGUGUGGAGGGGGCUGGGCAACGGUGCUAAAGAGAAAGUGCCCAGCGGACCAACUGCAGGAAGUUGGACCAACUGUGCUUGUUCCUUUUUCUGGUUUUUAAGAAUAAUUAUGUAAAAAAAACAAAACAAAACCCAUGCUUAUUGUAAAAACAGAAAAAAGGAAUUACUGGUGAUCAUAAAGAAGAAGACGUCAGUAAUCAGCAAUCUCACAGCCCACAGAGAGCCAGUUCUAAUUCUGACAUGUCCCUUUAGACUUCCUUCUUUGCAUACUUACGCAAAAAUGUUUCCUUUCAUUAAAAUUGGACCCUGCUGCUUAUAUUUUGGUAAUGUGUAUUUUUACUUAGUUUAUUAUACAUCUCUUUUGCACAUUAAUAAAUACACUUCAAAUCAUUCGUGAAGGUGGUUCUGUCAUAUGAAUGUACAUAUUUUAGCUAAUCAGUUCCCAUGAGGGGAAUGUUGAGGGUUUUUUUUUUCCAUUUUCCACUGUUAUUAAUAGUCCUGCGACAAGCAUCCACUGACAUGUGCUUUUCAUAUCUUGCCCUUUCCAAGUUGCAAUAUGCAUGCUAUCUUCUCUAUCUGCCUUUUCAGCUCAGAGCAUCUGGUGGUUCAGGUCCCAAACUUGGAUCUAUGCUGAGUUGUUUAUGAACCUGCUUUAAGACAUGAAGGUUGGGAACUAUCGUUGAUGAGCAAUAAAUGGAACCACUUGUGUCCGACUCAGAAUUAUCAAAGUACAUCUACUCCUGAAGUUGCAGAAACCAAAUAGAACAUCUCCCAGGACUGGGAUUCGGCAGAGCAGGGGUUCAGAAACUCUGCUGCAGCUUCAUUCAACUGAGGACAUUUCAGCUUUUCCACAUGUGCCCCUACAACCACCAAAGUGAUCCUGGUCUCUAAAAACAGCCAAUGGGAAAACUGAGCUGAUGUGGCUUCCCUAGCAGGAAAAGUCCCUUUGUUCAUAUAUAAAGAUGAUGGAGUUGACAGGUCACCAGUGGACACUACUGCUUCAGACAGGGUCCUAAAUGAUGAUCAGAGCAACCCUCAUCCUUCAGAAGGGGACACUGAGCGCAGAGAGAGAAACCACCUUGUCCUAGGUCACGCAGAUGAGACCACAAUCCCAUUGUCCAACACUGGGGGAUAAACCUCACUGAGUGCCACUUUACAUACUUUAUUUACUUUGCUUAACUUUUAUGAAUGAUAUGUGUACAGAAUUUAUAUACUCUUCAUAGUAACUGUCUAUAAAGGUAGGGUUGUCUGAUAAAAUUUA